rnacentral:rRNA from 1 species
AGGGUCUCUUCAACGAUGGAAGCUUGCUCCCAUGCGUCUGUGUCGUUCUGAGGAAUAAACUUAGGAUCUGCCCAUUACUGGGGGACAGCAUUCGGAAUGGAUGCUAUGACCCCAUACGCCCUUGAAUGGAAAGCGGGGGAUCUUCGGACCUGACGCUAAUGGAUGAGCCUGCGUCGGAUUAGCUUGUUGGUGAGGUAAUGGCUCACCAAGUCGAGGAUCCGUAGCUGGUCUGAGAGGACGAUCAGCCACACUGGGACUGAAACACGGACCAGACUCCUACUGGAAGCAACAUGGGGGAAUAUUGUACAAUGGGCGCAAGCCUGAUCCUUGAAUGCCGCGUGUGUGAAGGAGGCCUGCGGGUUGUAAAGCACUUUCAGUGGAGAAGAAAAGCCUACGGUUAAUAACCUAGAGUCUUGACGUAACCUACAGAAGAAGCACCGGCUAACUCCGUGCCAGCAGCCGCGGUAAUACGGAGGGUGCAAGCGUUAAUCGGAAUUACUGGGCGUAAAGCGCGCGUAGGCGGCUUUGUAAGUCGGAUGUGAAAGCCCUGGGCUUAACCUGGGAAUUGCAUUCGAUACUGCAGAGCUAGAGUAUGGUAGAGGGAAGUGGAAUUCCGGGUGUAGCGGUGAAAUGCGUAGACGCCGGAGGAACACCAGUGGCGAAGCGACUUCCUGGGACCAAUACUGACGCUGAGUGCGAAAGCGUGGGAGCAAACAGGAUAGGGUCUCUUAGGGUCUCUUAGGGUCUCUUAGGGUCUCUUGAU